rnacentral:tRNA from 1 species
GCCCGGAUGGCUCAAUGGUAGAGCAGCGCUUUUGUAAAGCGCAGGUUGUCGGUUCGAGUCCGACUCCGGGCU